rnacentral:rRNA from 1 species
UACAGAGGGUGCGAGCGUUGUCCGGAAUCACUGGACGUAAAGGGCGCGUAGGUGGCGGGCCAAGUCAGUGGCGAAAGCUCGAUGCUCAACAUCGAGUCGGCCACUGAUACUGGUUUGCUUGAGCACUGUAGAGGCAGAUGGAAUUCCGGGUGUAGCGGUGGAAUGCGUAGAGAUCCGGAAGAACACCGGUGGCGAAGGCGGUCUGCUGGGCCGUUGCUGACGCUGAGGCGCGACAGCGUGGGGAGCAAACAGG